GUCUCUUUAAUAUAUAAGUUAAUAGUAUGAUUAAUUUCCACUUAAUUUGACCCACUGGGAAGAGAUA
rnacentral:tRNA from 1 species